UUCUUUUUUUUGCGAAGGAUAUUCUGCCCGCGUUAUUCUUAUUUUCGGGCGCGGUAUCCUAACCGUGCAAAGGUAGCAUAAUCACUUGCCUAUUAAUUGUAGGCUGGAAUGAACGGAUGAACGAAGUAUAGCCUGUCUCUCUUUAUUAUCAAAAACUAAUCUCUGAGUGAAGAAGCUCAGAUAAUAUCACAGGACAAGAAGACCCCGUAGAGCUUCAUCUAUAAUUAAUUUACUUAACAAAGAUUUGGUUGGGGCGACCCAGGAAUAAAUUAAUCAUCCUGCUAUAAUAGAUCUAUAAAUCUAACAAAUGAUCCUUAAUUAAGAUCAUAAGAAAGCUACCUCAGGGAUAACAGGCUAAUCUUUCUCUAGAGCCCUUAUCAAAAGAAAGGGUUGGCACCUCGAUGUUGGCUUAGGGAAUCUAAAUAACGCAAAAGUUAAAAAAGAAGGUUUGUUCAACCUAUAAAUCCCUACGUGAUCUGAGUUCAGACCGGA
rnacentral:rRNA from 1 species